rnacentral:rRNA from 1 species
CAGUCGCCGCGGUAAUACGUAGGUGGCAAGCGUUGUCCGGAAUUAUUGGGCAUAAAGGGCUCGCAGGCGGUUUCUUAAGUCUGAUGUGAAAGCCCCCGGCUCAACCGGGGAGGGUCAUUGGAAACUGGGAAACUUGAGUGCAGAAGAGGAGAGUGGAAUUCCACGUGUAGCGGUGAAAUGCGUAGAGAUGUGGAGGAACACCAGUGGCGAAGGCGACUCUCUGGUCUGUAACUGACGCUGAGGAGCGAAAGCGUGGGGAGCGAACGGGAUUAGAGACCCGCGUAGUCCCUGUCUCUUAUAC